UCAUAGCUUACAACCCAAUGACAUGAACACUGAAUUCUCCAAUUUGAGGAGACUCUCCACUCCUCCAAAUGAAGUCCUGGAGUCUGUAUCGACACUAACUCUUUUUUCCAGCUCCCCCCCCCCCCCCUCCCCCCGACUCCAUUAGUCCAUAGAAUGGUCCAGACCCAACACGUCGCCAGACCAUUCCCCUCCAAAGUGCCGGUAGAACUCAGCAAGUCAGCCAUCCGUGGUGGGAAACGGAUGGAGAAAUGGGGAGGGCCAGGUUGUUGU